rnacentral:rRNA from 1 species
CACGUAGGCGGGAACUUAAGUCAGGUGUGAAAGACCGAGGCUCAACCUCGGGUAUGCACUUGAAACUGGGUUUCUUGAGGGCAGGAGAGGAAAGCAGAAUUCCUGGUGUAGCGGUGAAAUGCGUAGAAAUCAGGAGGAAUACCAGUGGCGAAGGCGGCUUUCUGGACUGACCCUGACGCUGAGGUGCGAAAGCGUGGGUAGCAAACA